rnacentral:sRNA from 1 species
CGGGCCUUUCCGCCGCCUUAAGCAAGCGGGCACCGAAUUCAGGAAAGGAUUUCCAACGGCCGUAAACGCAGGCACGAUCCAGUGCUUGCAUUCGCGGUAACAUCUUCGGUGGUGGCAAUCGUGAAGCGGUCUUGCAGGGACCGCACAAUGAAACGGUACUUUUGUAUUGUGAUCGUUGUAUCUGGUGUGUUGUUGCUAUCCGGUAACGGGGGCUGGAGUAUCUCCGGCAACUCAAUUACGGUGACCAUCAACACAGCUGGCAAGUAAUCUCAGUGGCCACCCUCUCCGGGCGGUUCACU